CCUACGGGAGGCAGCAGUGAGGAAUAUUGGUCAAUGGGCGUAAGCCUGAACCAGCCAAGUCGCGUGAGGGAUGAAGGUUCUCUGGAUCGUAAACCUCUUUUAUCAGGGAAUAAAGUGUGGGACGUGUCCUGUUUUGUCUGUACCUUCUGAAUAAGGAUCGGCUAACUCCGUGCCAGCAGCCGCGGUAAUACGGAGUAUCCGAGCGUUAUCCGGGUUUAUUGGGUUUAAAGGGUGCGUAGGCGGCCUUUUAAGUCAGCGGUGAAAGUCUGUGGCUCAACCAUAGAAUGGCCGUUGAAACUGGGAGGCUUGAGUAUGUUUGAGGCAGGCGGAAUGCGUGGUGUAGCGGUGAAAUGCUUAGAUAUCACGCAGAACCCCGAUUGCGAAGGCAGCCUGCCAAGCCAUGACUGACGCUGAUGCACGAAAGCGUGGGGAUCAAACAGGAUUAGAUACCCGUGUAGUC
rnacentral:rRNA from 1 species